UAUAUGUAUAUAUGAUUUGACAUUUUAAUAUUUUGAAAACAUAACUUUAAAAGUGUUCCUAAAACAUUAAAUCAUUUGAAAAUCGUAUCAGAAUGUAUUAUAUCGAUGCCGGCUAUUUUAGGCAAAAAUGUGAAAUAAAUUUUGAAUUCACUCACCUCCAUUCGUGAAUAAAUCUGUAUAGCUCCGAUUAACCAUUUAUUGCUUGGAAUUUAUUAUGUUAC